rnacentral:lncRNA from 1 species
UUCAUGCUUGAGGCUCUCAAUAUCCUAUAAAAAUGCAUGCGUGAAGAUUAAUCAAGUAACUUAUUACGAAGUAAUUCAAAAAAAAAAAAGUAGAGCGAAAAAGAAUUUGUAUAGUACAUUCUGUCGAAGUCUAAUAGUGAUACAAUUAGGUUGUCAGACUGUGCACAAUUGGUUUCAAAACAAGUUAUAAGGUGGCUAUAUAAAUGUGAAGAGAAUUUUCAAUUGAAUAAGCUAUUGUUUUAAGACUAAGUAUGAAAAGAAAACUACCUGGCCUGCCCAACCAUCAACAACAAAAACAUCCAAUGAAUAUCCAUCCAAUGUGGAAAAGGCAUGUGCUUCUUGAAUGUUCAGCCCAAUCUCAGAGAGUAAGGUAGUCAACUGUAAUCUCAGUACCAUUAUAAAUUACUGUGAUGCCUUGUAAUUAUUACGAACAUUACCAUAAUAUGUAGGAAAAAUAUUACAGAGAAAUGUUUGUACAGAAAAUAAUAAGAUUUG